GAUGAAGAACGUAGCGAAAUGCGAUAAGUAGUGUGAAUUGCAGAAUUCAGUGAAUCAUCGAAUCUUUGAACGCACAUUGCGCCCCUUGGUAUCCCGAGGGGCAUGCCUGUUCGAGCGUCAUUUCACCACUCAAGCCUGGCUUGGUGUUGGGCGACGUCCUCUUUGGGGACGCGCCUCGAAACGCUCGGCGGUGUGGCACCGGCUUUAAGCGUAGCAGAAUCUUUCGCUUUGGAAGUCGGGGCCCCGUCUGCCGGAAGACCUGCUCGCAAGGUUGACCUCGGAUCAGGCAGGGAUACCCGCUGAACUUAAGCAUAUCAAUAAGCGGAGGA
rnacentral:misc_RNA from 1 species